rnacentral:rRNA from 1 species
UACGAAGGGGGCUAGCGUUGCUCGGAAUCACUGGGCGUAAAGGGUGCGUAGGCGGGUCUUUAAGUCAGGGGUGAAAUCCUGGAGCUCAACUCCAGAACUGCCUUUGAUACUGAAGAUCUUGAGUUCGGGAGAGGUGAGUGGAACUGCGAGUGUAGAGGUGAAAUUCGUAGAUAUUCGCAAGAACACCAGUGGCGAAGGCGAGUCACUGGACACAUAUUGACGCUGAGGUGCGAAAGCGUGGGGAGCAAACAGG